rnacentral:rRNA from 1 species
AGAGUUUGAUCCUGGCUCAGGACGAACGCUGGCGGCGUGCUUAACACAUGCAAGUCGAGCGGAAAGGCCCUUCGGGGUACUCGAGCGGCGAACGGGUGAGUAACACGUGAGUAACCUGCCCUGGACUUUGGGAUAACCCUCGGAAACGGGGGCUAAUACCGGAUACGACAUUCCACCGCAUGGUGUGUUUGUGGAAAGUUUUUCGGUCUGGGAUGGGCUCGCGGCCUAUCAGCUUGUUGGUGGGGUGAUGGCCUACCAAGGCGACGACGGGUAGCCGGCCUGAGAGGGCGACCGGCCACACUGGGACUGAGACACGGCCCAGACUCCUACGGGAGGCAGCAGUGGGGAAUAUUGCACAAUGGGCGGAAGCCUGAUGCAGCGACGCCGCGUGAGGGAUGACGGCCUUCGGGUUGUAAACCUCUUUCAGCAGGGACGAAGCGCAAGUGACGGUACCUGCAGAAGAAGCGCCGGCCAACUACGUGCCAGCAGCCGCGGUAAGACGUAGGGCGCGAGCGUUGUCCGGAUUUAUUGGGCGUAAAGAGCUCGUAGGCGGCUUGUCGCGUCGACUGUGAAAUCCCGCGGCUCAACUGCGGGUCUGCAGUCGAUACGGGCAGGCUAGAGUUCGGUAGGGGAGACUGGAAUUCCUGGUGUAGCGGUGAAAUGCGCAGAUAUCAGGAGGAACACCGGUGGCGAAGGCGGGUCUCUGGGCCGAUACUGACGCUGAGGAGCGAAAGCGUGGGGAGCGAACAGGAUUAGAUACCCUAGUAGUCC